rnacentral:lncRNA from 1 species
CGAGGAUUAGGCACUCCGGGACCCGCUUGCCUCGAAGUGACCCUAUGCGGAUAAAAUUGACAAGAUAAUAAUAAGCGGUACACCUUUACUGCUUUAUAUUAUUAUGUUAUGAAAACUUCUGAAUUAUGUCAGGAUUAGAACUAUUAGAAGUUCAGGAUCAGGUUAUGUUAGAAACUAUUAGUUUCAGUUGCCCCGGUGU